UACGAAGGGGGCUAGCGUUGCUCGGAAUCACUGGGCGUAAAGCGCACGUAGGCGGCUUCUUAAGUCAGGGGUGAAAUCCUGGAGCUCAACUCCAGAACUGCCUUUGAUACUGGAGGACGCUUGAGUCCGGGAGAGGUGAGUGGAACUGCGAGUGUAGAGGUGAAAUUCGUAGAUAUUCGCAAGAACACCAGUGGCGAAGGCGGCUCACUGGCCCGGUACUGACGCUGAGGUGCGAAAGCGUGGGGAGCGAACAGG
rnacentral:rRNA from 1 species